UACGUAGGCAGCAAGCGUUGUUCGGAGUUACUGGGCGUAAAGAGUGCGUAGGCGGUGCCCUAAGUCUGUUGUGAAAUCUCCCGGCUUAACUGGGAGGGUGCGGUGGAAACUGGGGUGCUUGAGAGUGGGAGAGGUUAGCGGAAUUCCUGGUGUAGCGGUGAAAUGCGUAGAUAUCAGGAGGAACACCGGUGGUGUAGACGGCUGACUGGACCACGACUGACGCUGAGGCACGAAAGCGUGGGUAGCAAACAGG
rnacentral:rRNA from 1 species